rnacentral:rRNA from 1 species
AUUGAACGCUGGCGGCAUGCCUUACACAUGCAAGUCGAACGGCAGCGGACCUUCGGGUGCCGGCGAGUGGCGAACGGGUGAGUAAUAUAUCGGAACGUACCCAGACGUGGGGGAUAACUACGCGAAAGCGUAGCUAAUACCGCAUACGCCCUGAGGGGGAAAGCGGGGGAUCUUCGGACCUCGCGCGAUUGGAGCGGCCGAUGUCGGAUUAGCUAGUUGGUGGGGUAAAGGCCUACCAAGGCGACGAUCCGUAGCUGGUCUGAGAGGACGACCAGCCACACUGGGACUGAGACACGGCCCAGACUCCUACGGGAGGCAGCAGUGGGGAAUAUUGGACAAUGGGGGCAACCCUGAUCCAGCGACGCCGCGUGUGUGAAGAAGGCCUGCGGGUUGUAAAGCACUUUUAGUGGGGAGGAAGGUCUGCGACCUAACACGUCGUGGAAUUGACUUAACCCACAGAAAAAGCACCGGCUAACUCUGUG